GAUGAAGAACGCAGCGAAAUGCGAUAAGUAAUGUGAAUUGCAGAAUUCAGUGAAUCAUCGAAUCUUUGAACGCACAUUGCGCCCGCCAGUAUUCUGGCGGGCAUGCCUGUUCGAGCGUCAUUUCAACCCUCAAGCCCAGCUUGGUGUUGGGGAUCGGCACAGGCGCCCUCGGGCGCCCGCCGUCCCCUAAAUCUAGUGGCGGUCCCGCUGCAGCCUCCUCUGCGUAGUAGUUUUCUCCUCGCAAGGGCAGCUCGGUGGCGACCUCGCCGUAAAACCCCCAACUUCUGAAAGGCUGACCUCGAAUCAGGUAGGAAUACCCGCUGAACUUAAGCAUAUCAAUAAGCGGAGGA
rnacentral:misc_RNA from 1 species